CGAGGAAUAUUGCACAAUGGAGGAAACUCUGAUGCAGUAACGCCGCGUGGGGGAAGAAGACCUUCGGGUUGUAAACCUCUUUUAUAUCGGACGAGUGAGGACGGUACGAUAGGAAUCAGUCUCGGCUAACUACGUGCCAGCAGCCGCGGUAAGACGUAGGAGGCGAGCGUUAUCCGGAUUCACUGGGCGUAAAGCGCAUGUAGGCGGUUUGAAAAGUCCGCGGUUAAAGCCCCCGGCUCAACUGGGGGAGGUCCGUGGAGACUUUUAGACUUGAGGGCAACAGAGGCACGUGGAACUCCCGGUGUAGCGGUGGAAUGCGUAGAGAUCGGGAAGAACACCAGUGGCGAAGGCGACGUGCUGGGUUGCGACUGACGCUGAGAUGCGAAAGUGUGGGGAGCAAACGGG
rnacentral:rRNA from 1 species